GUGCGAACAGGUGAGGAAACCCGAGAGCUAAGUUUUGGGGCGGGGCUGGAGUCGUAUUAGGUCGAAGGUGGUAUAAAAGACCACCUUGCCCAGGAUGCGUGGCUUUAAACUGGAAGCCAUCUUUUCACUGAAGCAAAGGGAGCGCUCAAAAAGCGAGCGGAAAGCUCCUGAGGCAGCAGUAUAUAACUUUAUGCAAUGUACGAAAGUGCGACAUAGAAGGGGCGUAUAACUUAAUCUGUCUAAUUAAGUGCCAGCAGACGCGGUGAAACUUAAGGAUUAGUAUUAUAGGAAAAAGCGUAAAGGGUGUGAGGGGCUUAUCCCGACAAGAGGGUAAAUGGAAUUUUUCUGUAGGGGUAGAAUGUGUAGAUAGAAAAAAGAACUCUAAACGCGAAGGCAAUUUAUCUCAUGGGAGGUACGCCAACUGCUCCGUUGUUACACGAAAGUAUGGGGAGCAAACAGGAUUAGAGACCCUGGUAGUCUAUAUUGUAAAUAAUGAAGAAGAUGUGAGGCAAUCCUAAAGGGUAAUAAAUUUUUCGCUUGAGUAGUAUGAUCGCAAGAUUUAAAUUCAAAAAACUUGGCUGCUCACUGCUAUGAUCAGAGGAGCGUGUCGUUUAAUUCGAUAGUCCGCGAGAGACCUUACCCAAACUUGAAUUCGCCCUUUAACAGGUAUUGCAUGGCCGUCGUCAAUUUGUGUAUUAAAUGUAAAACGGAUUCAACCCAGUGGUUGGCACUCCAUCGUCUUCGGAGCGGUGCCAUUAUUGGAUGAAGUCAGGUCUUAUUGUCCUAAUGUUUGGGGAUUAGAUGCGCUACAUUUUCUUAUACAAUGGGAGAUUUUGAAGGUGGAACCCUAAAGUAAGAGUUCGGGAGGUGGCUGGAAGAUAACUGAAAGUUGGAUUUGAUAGUAAUUAGAAAGUAGAGCGUUCUGGUGAAAUUAAUGCAGUGUUAGUACAAAUAGCCCGUCGCCUUGGUCAAGAAUGGUUACUCAAAUGC
rnacentral:rRNA from 1 species